rnacentral:miRNA from 1 species
UGGUCGUUGCUCUACGCAGAC